rnacentral:lncRNA from 1 species
AGAAGAUCAAAGAGAAGAUUCACAAGAAAGAGAAAGAGGAUGCAUGUGUAUCGGUUGAAAAAAGUGAAGACACUGUAGUUAUUGAACCAGUUGAGGAGAAGGAAAGUUUGCUAGACAAGAUCAAGGACAAACUACACGGCCACGGCCACGGCCACGGCCACGGCCACGACCACAAGAAGGAGGGUACUGAUUAUCAAGUCGUCGAGGAAGGGGUGAUCGUAGCUGAGUGCCAAGGAAAUGUUUAUGUGGAGGAGGAUUACACGGUGGAGGUAGAAGAAGAGAAGAAGAAACACAGUUUGCUUGAGAAACUUCACCGAUCAAAAAGCAACAGCUCUAGUUGCUCUGUAAGUACAAUUUACUUGGUUUUUUUAAAUAAUUCACAUAUUCGAUCUAUUAUUAUUGAGACCGGUCCAUAGGAAUUCAACUCUCAUGUUCGUACUCCUUUCUAAUUUUUAUGUCUCAUUUGAUGUAUUUAUGUAAGGUAUAUAAAUUUUUUAUCUAUUUACAUAAUUAACUAUAAAAAAAAAAUUAUAUCUGCAGUCACACUAUAUAUAUAUAUAUAUAUAUAUAUAUAUAUAUAUAUAUAUAUAUCGGAAAUGAUAGAAGAUGAGAUAAUAAAUUUCGACGCAAUCCAUAGUCAUACUCGAUGAAACGCAAAAUAGUUUUGCUGAUCAAAUACUAAAGGUUUUAUAAAUACCUGAUAGUUUUUGGUAUUUAGUUAACACACCUAUUCAUCGCACAUAUAUAAUGUUUUUCACUGUCAUUGAGUUGAUGUAUGCAUGUAAAUAAUGAGCUUUGCUUUGCCAAGUCUACCCUUCAUUUCUUUCAAUUGGAAAUAUCCUUAUAAGAACUCAAGUUCUAAGUUAUCCGUGCAAUAUUUACCCAUUUUUUAAAUUCAUUUGUUGUUAUUUUUUGUGUAGCUGUGUUUUUUAAUAAAUAUUUUGGUGGAAAAUAUAUAUGCAGUCAAGUGAUGAGGAAGAAGUUGAAGAGGGAGGGGAGAAGAAGAGUUUGAAGGAUAAGAUCAAAGAGAAGAUUCACAAGGAAAAGAAAGAGGACACAAGGGAUUAUGAGGAUCAGAAGGAGGGCUUGGUAGACAAGAUCAAGGACAAGAUACAAGAGCACCACCAGAAGAAGUCAGAAGAAGAAUAUGUAAUCCCUUCUCCGUCAGCCGAGUAUGCCACCACGGGUUAUGAGGAGAAGGAGGGCUUGGUAGACAAGAUCAAGGACAAACUACACGAACACCACCAUAAGAAGUCAGAAGAAGAAUAUGUGAUCCCUCCUCCGGCAGCCGAGUAUACCGCCACCGGUUAUGAGGAGAAGGAGGGCUUGCUAGACAAAGUAAAGGACAAGUUACACGAACACCACCACAAGAAGUCAGAAGAAUAUGUGAUCUCUCCUCCAGCAACCGAGUAUGCCUCCAGGGAUUAUGAGGAGAAGGAGGGCUUGGUAGAUAAGAUCAAGGACAAGCUACAUGAACACCACCGUAAUAAGUCGGAAGAAGAAUAUGUUAUUCCUCCUCCAGAAACUGAGUAUACUGCCACGGGUUAUGAGGAGAAGGAGGGAUUGGUAGACAAGAUCAAGGACAAGCUACAUGAACACCACCGCAAGAAGUCAGAAGAAGAAUAUGUGAUCUCUCCUCCAGCAGCCGAGUAUGCCGCCACGGAUUAUAAGGAGAAGGAGGGCUUGGUAGACAAGAUCAAGGAAAAGAUACACGAACACCACAAGAAGAAGUCAGAAGAAGAAUAUGUGAUCGCUCUUUCGGUUACAGAGUAUGACGCCACGGAUUAUGAGGAGAAGGAGAGCUUGGUAGACAAGAUCAAGGACAAGAUACACGAACACCACCAAAAGAAGUCAGAAGAAGAAUAUGUGAUCCCAACCGAGUAUGUCGCCACGGGUUAUGACGAGAAUGAGGGUUUGGUAGACAAGAUCAAGGACAAACUGCAUGAACACCACCACAAAAAGUCAGAAGAAGAAUAUGUGAUCCCUCCUCCAGCAGCCGAGUAUGCCGCCACAGGUUAUGUGGAGAAGGAGGGCUUCGCAGACAAGAUCAAGGACAAGUUAUACGAACACCACCACAAGAAGUCGGAAGAAGAAUAUGUGAUCCCUCCCCCAGCAGCCGAGUAUUCAGCCACAUGUUAUGAGGAGAAGGAAGGGUUGGUAGACAAGAUCAAGGACAAGCUACACGAACACCACCAGAAGAAGUCAGAAGAAGAAUACGUGAUCUCUCCUCCUCCCGCAGUCGAGUACGUCGCCACCGUGGAGGUUGAUGAGGACAAGGAAGGUUUGGUAGACAAGAUCAAGGACAAACUACACGGACACAGUCACAACCACAAGAAAUCAGAAGAAGAAUAUGUCAUUCCUCCCCCUCCAGUAGCCGAGUAUGCCGCCAAGGUGGAGGUUUAUGAGGAGAAGGAGGGUUUUCUAGACAAGAUCAAG